GGUGGGGGUCCCGGUGGGCCGCCUGGAGCAGCGGGUGGGGGCUCUGAGGGGUCGCACCCCAUACACCGUCCGGGUCCGCGUCCGCCCCGACGGGCUGAGCUACGGCGGCUAUUGGAGCCCGUGGUCCGAACCCAUCACUGCCGUCACCGCCCCCGGAAGCUGCAGGAGAAGCUGUGGCCGCCCGUGCCCGGCCCUGAGAGGGAAUUCGAGGGGCUCUUCAGCGCCUAUGGGGGCAAUUUUCAGCUCUGGCUGUACCAAGGGGUGGUGGAGCCCUGGAGCCCCCCCGGAGGCACCCCGGAAGCCGAGGAACAGCCCAGUGCCGUGGAAGAGGUGGGGCCCCCCCCCGGGCAAAGAGCCCCCCCCCGGGGACCCCCCCGUCUGCCCCCCCUUCGGCCCCCCCCAGCGGCCCCUCGCCCGCCUCCAGCUUUGAGUACACGCUGUUUGACCCCGGCUCGGCCCUGCUCUGCCCCAGGGGGCACCCCCAAAUCGCCCCCCCCCCACGACCCCCCCCGGCGGCCCCUACGCCAACCUGGCCCCUCCCCACAAAGGGUCCCCCCCCCCCGAGGAGGGGACCCCCCAAAGAAACCCCCCACGACAGGAGACCCCCACGGGAGCUUCCGUGCAAUGGGAACCCCCCCGGGACCCUCCUGGCGUUGGGGCCCCCCCCAAUGCCCCCCCCCUACGUGCUGUGCUCUUAAUGGAUGGGGGGGGGGGGAGAGGGGGGCGGAGGGGGGGGUUGGGGACACCCCCCGGGAUGGGGUGACACCGAAUGGAGGGGACACGGCGACGUGAGGUCACGUGGGCUCACCACGACACGGGGACGUGUCACACCACGGCACGAGGAUGGAGGGGACGUGUCAUAGUGACGUCACGUGGGCUCACCAUGACACGAGGAUGGAGGGGACGCGUCAUAGUGAUGUCAUGUGGGCUCACCAUGACACGAGGAUGGAGGUGACACACUGUAGUGAUGUCACAUGGACUCAUAGUGACAUCACAUGGACUUACCAUGACACGAGGACGUGUCACACUGUGACACAUUGAUGGAGGGGGACACAUCAUAGUGAUGUCACAUGGACUCACCAUGACACAAGGAUGGAGAGGACACGUCAUAGUGACGUCACGUGGGCUCACCAUGACAUGAGUACAGAUGGGACACAUCAUAGUGAUGUCAUGUGGGCUCACCAUGAGACGAGGAUGGAGGGGACACGUCAUAGUGACGUCACGUGGGCUCACCACGACACGGGGACGGAGGUGACACACUAGUGAUGUCACAUGGACUCAUAGUGACAUCACGUGGACUCACCAUGACACAAGGAUGGAGGGGACGCGUCAUAGUGACGUCACAUGGGCUCACCAUGACAUGAGGAUGGAGGGGACACGUCACAGUGAUGUCACGUGGACUCACCAUGACAUGAGGACGGAGGUGACACACUGUAGUGAUGUCACGUGGACUCAUAGUGACAUCACGUGGACUCACCACAACACGAGGACGUGUCACACUGUGACACAUGGAUGGAGGGGACUCACCACGACACGAGGAUGGAGGUGACGCGUCAUAGUGACGUCACGUGGACUCACCACGACACGGGGACGGAGGGGACACGUCACAGUGAUGUCACAUGGACUCACCACGACACAAGGAUGGAGGGGAGAAGUCACAGUGAUGUCACAUGGACUCACAGUGACAUCACGUGGACUCACCAUGACACGAGGACGUGUCACACUGUGACACUAUGGACGGAGGGGACUCACCACGACACGAGGAUGGAGGGGACACGUCAUAGUGAUGUCACGUGGGCUCACCAUGAGACGAGGAUGGAGGGGACACGUCAUAGUGAUGUCACGUGGACUCAUGGUGACAUCACGUGGACUCACCAUGACACGAGGACGUGUCACACUGACACAUGGAUGGAGGGGACACACUGUAGUGACGUCACGUGGACUCACCAUGACACGAGGAUGGAGGUGACACACUAUAGUGAUGUCACAUGGACUCACAGUGACAUCACGUGGACUCACCAUGACACGAGGAUGAUGGGGACACAUCGUAGUGAUGUCACGUGGACUCACCAUGACACGAGGACAUGUCACACUGUGACACAUGGACGGAGGGGACUCACCACGACACGAGGAUGGAGGUGACGCGUCAUAGUGACGUCACGUGGACUCACCACGACACAAGGAUGGAGGGGACACACUGUAGUGAUGUCACAUGGACUCACAGUGACAUCACGUGGACUCACCAUGACACGAGGAUGAGGGGGACACAUCGUAGUGAUGUCACGUGGACUCACCAUGACACGAGGACGUGUCACACCACGACACGAGGAUGAAGGUGACACACUGUAGUGAUGUCACGUGGACUCAUAGUGACAUCACGUGGACUCACCAUGACACGAGGACGUGUCACACUGUGACACAUGGAUGGAGGAGACUCACCACGACACGAGGAUGGAGGUGACGCGUCAUAGUGAUGUCACGUGGACUCACCACGACACGAGGGUAUGUCACACUGUGACACAUUGAUGGAGGGGACACGUCGUAGUGACGUCACAUGGACUCACCAUGACACGAGGAUGGAGAUGACACACUGUAGUGAUGUCACAUGGACUCAUAGUGACAUCACAUGGACUCACCACGACACGAGUAUGGAGGUAACGCGUCAUAGUGACGUCACGUGGACUCACCACGACACGAGGAUGGAGGUGACGCGUCAUAGUGACGUCACGUGGACUCACCACGACACGGGGACGGAGGGGACACGUCGCAGUGACGUCACGUGGGGACACAGCGGGGUUGUGGGGGUGGUCCCGUCCCACCCCCCCCCCCCCCCCCAAUGUCCAUACGCCGAAUUGGGGCCACUCGUGUUGGUUUGCCACUGUUUUAUACAAUAAAGCACUCGUGAGCGCACGCAGCGCCUCGGGGGGGGGUGGGGUGGGGUGGGGGCGGUGAUAAGGCCUUAUCAGAGCCCCCAGGGCCGGGGGGGGGCACAGCACGCGCUCAGCCCCACGCUGUGGGUGUCGGGGGGGGGGAGGGGGGUGGCUGUGAGGGCACUGAUAACGUGGGCUGUCCGCUCGUGUCGCCUCCUGGCACCUCCGGACACCUCCGGACACCUCCGGACACCAGCAGUGCGGCACGGGGGCUCGUGGCACCUCGGUUCCGUGUCGUAUAGGCACUGUGACAUCUGGGUCCCAUGUCACCUUGGUUCCGUGUCGUAUAGGCACUGUGACGUGGGUUCCGUGUCACCUGGGUUCCAUGUCACCGGGGUUCUGUGUCACCUGGGUUCUGUGUCACCUCGGUUCCGUGUCGUAUAGGCACUGUGACGUGGGUCCCGUGUCACCUGGGUUCUGUGUCACCUGGGUUCCGUGUCGUAUAGGCACUGUGUCACCUGGGUUCCGUGUCACCUGGGUUCUGUGUCACGGUGUUCCAUGUCACCUGGGUCCCAUGUCACCUUGGUUCCGUGUCGUAUAGGCACUGUGACGUGGGUUCCGUGUCACCUGGGUUCCAUGUCACCUGGGUUCUGUGUCACCUGGGUUCCGUGCCAUAUAGGCACUGUGACAUCUGGGUUCCGUGUCACCUGGGUUCUGUGUCACCUGGGUUCCAUGUCGUAUAGGCACUGUGUCACCUGGGUUCCAUGUCACCUGGGUUCUGUGUCACCUGGGUUCUGUGUCACCUGGGUUCUGUGUCACCUGGGUUCCGUGCCAUAUAGGCACUGUGACAUCUGGGUUCCGUGUCACCUGGGUUCUGUGUCACCUCGGUUCUGUGUCGUAUAGGCACUGUAUCACCUGGGUUCCAUGUCACCUGGGUUCUGUGUCGCCUGGGUUCUGUGUCGCCUGGGUUCCAUGUCACCUGGGUUCCGUGUCACCUUGGUUCCGUGUCGUAUAGGCACUGUGACGUGGGUUCCGUGUCACCUGGGUUCCGUGUCACCUGGGUUCUGUGUUGUAUAGGCACUGUGUCACCUGGGUUCUGUGUCACCUGGGUUCUGUGUCAUAUAGGCACCGUGUCACCUGGGUUCCGUGUCACCUGGGUUCUGUGUCAUCUGGGUUCCGUGUCACCUGGGUUCCGUGUCGUAUAGGCACUGUGUCACCUGGGUUCCGUGUCAUUGUGCCACCUGGGUUCCAUGUCAUAUAGGCACUGUGUCACCUGGGCACUGUGUCACCUGGGUUCUGUGUCACCUGGGUUCUGUGUCAUAUAGGCACUGUGUCACCUGGGUUCCGUGUCACCUGGGUUCUGUGUCACCGGGGUUCCGUGUCGUAUAGGCACUGUGACGUGGGUUCCGUGUCACCUGGGUUCCAUGUCACCGGGGUUCUGUGUCACCUGGGUUCCAUGUCACCUGGGUUCUGUGUCACCUGGGUUCUGUGUCAUAUAGGCACUGUGUCACCUGGGUUCUGUGACAUCUGGGUUCCGUGUCACCUGGGUUCCAUGUCAUAUAGGCACUGUGCCAUCUGGGUUCCAUGUCACCUGUGUUCCGUGUCACCUGUGUUCCGUGUCACAGUGUCACCCAGGCUCCGUGUCGUGCCGCACAGACUCUGUCACCUGCAUUCCAUGUCACCCGGGUUCUGUGUCACACAGGCAUUGCGUCCCCUGGGUUCCAUAGCACUCGGGUUCCGUGUCACCUGGGUUCCAUGUCGCGUGGGUUCCAUGACACAUAGGCAUUGUGUCACCCGGUCCCAUGUCACCAGGGCUCCAUGUCACCUGGGUUCUGUGUCACCUGGGUUCCGUGCCAUUUGGGUCUGUGUCACUCAGGUUCUGUGUCACCUUGGUUCCCUGUCACCUGGGUCCCACGCCACAGUGUCACCCAGGCUCCGUGUCACUGUGCCAUGCAGACCCCAUGUCACCUCGGUUCCGUGUCACCUGGACUCCACAUCACCCGGGCUCCAUGUCACUGUGUCACCUGGGCUCCACAUCACCUCUGCUCCAUGUCACCGUGUCACCUGGGCUCCACAUCACCUGGGCUCCAUGUCACUGUGUCACCUGGGCUCCAUGUCACCGGGCAGCUCUAUGUGACUGUGUCACCCGGGCUGCACAUCACCUGGUCUCCAUGUCACUGUGUCACCUGGGCUCCACAUCACUGGGGCUCCAUGUCACCGUGUCACCUGGGCUUCAUGUCACCAUGUCACCUGGGCUCCACGUCACCUGGGCUCCAUGUCACCGUGUCACCGGGCAGUUCCAUGUCACCGUGUCACCUGGGCUCCACAUCACCUGGGCUCCAUGUCACCGUGUCACCUGGGCUCCAUGUCACCUGGCAGCUCCAUGUCACUGUGUCACAUGGGCUCCACAUCACCUGGGCUUCAUGUCACAUGGGCAGCUCUAUGUCACCGUGUCACCCAGGCCCCACAUCACCUGGGCUCCAUGUCACUGUGUCACCUGGGCUCCACAUCACCUGGGCUCCGUGUCACUGUCUCAUGUGGGCUCCAUGUCACCGGGCAGCUCCAUAUCACCGUGUCACCUGGGCUCCACAUCACCUGGGCUCCAUGUCACCUGGCAGCUCCAUGUCACCGUGUCACCUGGGCUCCACGUCACCUGGGCUCUAUGACACUGUGUCACCAUGUCACCGUGUCACCUGGGCUCCACAUCACCUGGGCUCCAUGUCACUGUGUCACCUGGGUUCCGUGUCACUGAGUCAUGUGGGCUCCAUGUCACCUGGGCUCCAUGUCACCGUGUCACCGGGCAGUUCCAUGUCACCGUGUCACCUGGGCUCCACAUCACCUGGGCUCCAUGUCACCGUGUCACCUGGGCUCCAUGUCACCUGGCAGCUCCAUGUCACCGUGUCACCUGGGCUCCACAUCACCUGGGCUCCAUGUCAUUGUGUCAUGUGGGCUCCACAUCACCUGGGCUUCAUGUCACAUGGGCAGCUCUACGUCACCGUGUCACCCAGGCCCCACAUCACCUGGGCUCCAUGUCACUGUGUCACCUGGGCUCCACAUCACCUGGGCUCCGUGUCACUGUCUCAUGUGGGCUCCAUGUCACCGGGCAGCUCCAUGUCACCGUGUCACCUGGGCUCCAUGUCACCUGGGCUCCAUGACACUGUGUCACCUGGGUUCCAUGUCACUGAGUCAUGUGGGCUCCCUGUCACCUGGGCUCCAUGUCACCGUGUCACCGGGCAGUUCCAUGUCACCAUGUCACAUGGGCUCCACAUCACCUGGGCUCCGUGUCACUGUGUCACAUGGGCUCCGUGUCACUGUCUCAUGUGGGCUCCAUGUCACCGGGCAGCUCCAUGUCACCGUGUCACCUGGGCUCCACAUCACCUGGGCUCCAUGGCACUGUGUCAUGUGAGCUCCACGUCACUGGGGCUCCAUGUCACCGUGUCACCUGGGCUUCAUGUCACCAUGUCACCUGGGCUCCACGUCACCUGUGCUCCAUGUCACCGUGUCACCGGGCAGCUCCACGUCCCCGUGUCACCUGGGCUCCACAUCACCUGGGCUCCACACCAGCCAGGCUCAGUGACACCACAACACCCGAGGGCUGCACAUCACCACCCGACUCACCCUCAGCCUUCAUCCCCACUGCCAUCUCCGUCCUCAUCCUCGUCCCCAUCGCCGUCCCCAGGCCCGGGGGUGACGUUCAGCCCCCCGUGGGGCUCGAAGCGCAGCCUCCAUCCCCGCGGCACCGAUCCGGGCAGGACGAGGCGGACGUUCACCCGCAGUGGGACCCCGGGGAGGGGUCUCAGACGGCACUCAGCCGGGAAGUAACGGCGCAGGACGGGCAGCACACGGGGCCCGGGGGGGGGCACACGGAGGGCAGCCAGGAGCCGGGCCGGGGGUCGGGG
ensembl:lncRNA